AAAAGAGCUGAUAUAUAACUCAGAGGAAAGAUGGAUGGACUACCAAACACAGAGACUGUGUCCUCCUCACCUGAUGAAAGGUCUGGAGAUGGCCAGGACGGUCCGGAUGAACCACGUUGGCAUCUCUUCAGCCAGCUGAUGCCGGGCAUCUUCCUGCGAGGAGUGGCUCCGUUCAGGUACGGUCUGAUGACCUGCAUGUCAAUCCGCUGCUCCUGAUCACCGAUGAUCACUGUUCGCCACAGA